GACGAACGCUGGCGGCGCGCUUAACACAUGCAAGUCGAACGGAAAGGCCUGCUUUCCCUUGUGGAUUGCGGGUACUCGAGUGGCGAACGGGUGAGUAACACGUGAGUGAUCUGCCCCCAACUUGGGUAUAAGCCUGGGAAACUGGGUCUAAUUCCCGAUAGGACUGCAGGGUGGUGCCUGUGGUGGAAAACGAUUUUCUAGUGGUUGGGGAUGAGCUCGCGGCCUAUCAGCUUGUUGGUGGGGUAAUGGCCUACCAGGGCGGCGACGGGUAGCCGGCCUGAGAGGGUGGACGGCCACAUUGGGACUGAGAUACGGCCCAGACUCCUACGGGAGGCAGCAGUGGGGAAUAUUGCACAAUGGGCGGAAGCCUGAUGCAGCGACGCCGCGUGGGGGAUGACGGCCUUCGGGUUGUAAACUCCUUUCGACCGCGAGGAAGCCACCUGGUUGGAAGGGUGGUGACGGUAGUGGUAGAAGAAGCACCGGCUAACUACGUG
rnacentral:rRNA from 1 species